UACGUAGGGUGCAAGCGUUGUCCGGAAUUAUUGGGCGUAAAGAGCUCGUAGGCGGUCUGUCGCGUCGGCUGUGAAAACCCGGAGCUCAACUCCGGGCCUGCAGUCGAUACGGGCAGACUGGAGUUCGGCAGGGGAGACUGGAAUUCCUAGUGUAGCGGUGAAAUGCGCAGAUAUCAGGAGGAACACCGGUGGCGAAGGCGGGUCUCUGGGCCGAUACUGACGCUGAGGAGCGAAAGCGUGGGGAGCGAACAGG
rnacentral:rRNA from 1 species